GAUGAACGCUGGCGGCGUGCCUAAUACAUGCAAGUCGAGCGAACAGACGAGGAGCUUGCUCCUCUGACGUUAGCGGCGGACGGGUGAGUAACACGUGGAUAACCUACCUAUAAGACUGGGAUAACUUCGGGAAACCGGAGCUAAUACCGGAUAAUAUAUUGAACCGCAUGGGUCAAUAGUGAAAGACGGUUUUGCUGUCACUUAUAGAUGGAUCCGCGCCGCAUUAGCUAGUUGGUAAGGUAACGGCUUACCAAGGCAACGAUGCGUAGCCGACCUGAGAGGGUGAUCGGCCACACUGGAACUGAGACACGGUCCAGACUCCUACGGGAGGCAGCAGUAGGGAAUCUUCGGAAAUGGGCGAAAGCCUGACGGAGCAACGCAGCGUGAAUGAUGAAGGUCUUCGGAUCGUAAAACUCUGUUAUUAGGGAAGAACAAAUGUGUAAGUAACUAUGCACGUCUUGACGGUACCUAAUCAGAAAGCCACGGCUAACUACGUG
rnacentral:rRNA from 1 species